CUGGGUAAAUGCUGCAUACCAGUUAUGUAGAGGAAAGUCCAUGCUCGCACUAUCUGAGAUGAUAGUAGUGUUUGUGCUUAGGGAAAAAAUAACCUAAGGCAGGAAACUGACGGCUCUUGUUUUAGCUAAGGAUUAUCUAUGUUAAAACGAGUGUAAAAGUGCCACAGAAACGAGGCUAUUUAGAAAUAAAUAGAAUGAAACGAGGUAAACCCCACAAGCGAGAAACCCAAAUUAUGGUAGGGGAACUUUCUAUUGAAGAAUUAAAUUCAAAGAAGGAUGACAAAUGUCAUAGAUAAAUAUUUACCGCCUAGUAAUAGGUACAGAACAUGGCUUAUAA
rnacentral:RNase_P_RNA from 1 species